rnacentral:misc_RNA from 1 species
GAUGAAGAACGUAGCGAAAUGCGAUAAGUAAUGUGAAUUGCAGAAUUCAGUGAAUCAUCGAAUCUCUGAACGCACAUUGCGCCCCCUGGUAUUCCGGGGGGCAUGCCUGUUCGAGCGUCAUUUCACCACUCAAGCCUCGCUUGGUAUUGGGCAACGCGGUCCGCCGCGUGCCUCAAAUCGACCGGCUGGGUCUUCUGUCCCCUAAGCGUUGUGGAAACUAUUCGCUAAAGGGUGCUCGGGAGGCUACGCCGUAAAACAAACCCAUUUCUAAGGUUGACCUCGGAUCAGGUAGGGAUACCCGCUGAACUUAAGCAUAUCAAUAAGCGGAGGA